GGCCACCGACCCCACCGACACUCCCUACCGAUCUAGGGUUUUGCGCAGACAGCGGCGGGAAGCUCCGCCACCGCCGCCGUCUCUCCCUCGCCGUCGCUCUCUCACCGUCGCCAUGGCCGCCCCGUCGAGCUCCUCGUCGUCCCAGGGAGAAGGUACAUAUUCCUCUUCUCACUCUCUCUCUCUAGAUCCUAGUAUCAAUUCUAUACUUGAAUCACAGAAACCCUAGACUACCGAUCGAUCUACACCUAAACGAUGCUCUCAAUGGUAUCAGAGCAAGAAAAAGAGGUAGCUCGGGUAGAAAAGAAGAAAGAAAAAGAAAGAAAAACAGUGAAGAAAACCCUAACCCUAAAGUACUUACCCGAGGUUGCCGGCCG
rnacentral:lncRNA from 1 species